CCUACGGGCGGCAGCAGUGGGGAAUAUUGGACAAUGGGGGCAACCCUGAUCCAGCCAUGCCGCGUGUGUGAAGAAGGCCCUCGGGUUGUAAAGCACUUUCAGUGAGGAAGAACGCCUGGUGGUUAAUACCCAUCAGGAAAGACAUCACUCACAGAAGAAGCACCGGCUAACUCCGUGCCAGCAGCCGCGGUAAUACGGAGGGUGCGAGCGUUAAUCGGAAUUACUGGGCGUAAAGCGCGCGUAGGUGGCUUGAUAAGCCGGUUGUGAAAGCCCCGGGCUCAACCUGGGAACGGCAUCCGGAACUGUCAAGCUAGAGGGCAGGAGAGGAAGGUAGAAUUCCCGGUGUAGCGGUGAAAUGCGUAGAGGUCGGGAGGAAUACCAGUGGCGAAGGCGGCCUUCUGGACUGACACUGACACUGAGGUGCGAAAGCGUGGGUAGCAAACAGGAUUAGAUACCCCAGGAGUC
rnacentral:rRNA from 1 species